GUGCUUGCUUCAGCAGCACAUAUAUUAAAAUUGGAAUGAUACAGAGAAGAUUAGUGUGGCCCCUGCACAAGGAUGACAUACAAAUUCAUGAAGCAUUCCAUAUUUAA